rnacentral:rRNA from 1 species
UCCGUAGGCGGGCAAUUAAGUCAGAGGUGAAAUCCCACAGCUCAACUGUGGAACUGCCUUUGAUACUGGUUGUCUUGAGUUAUAGUGAAGUAGAUAGAAUAUGUAGUGUAGCGGUGAAAUGCAUAGAUAGUACAUAGAAUACCGAUUGCGAAGGCAGUCUACUAACUGUAUACUGACGCUAAUGGACGAAAGCGUGGGGAGCGAACAGGAUUAGAUACCCUGGUAGUC